GAUGAAGAACGUAGCGAAAUGCGAUACGUAAUGUGAAUUGCAGAAUUCAGUGAAUCAUCGAAUCUUUGAACGCACAUUGCGCCCGCCAGCACUCUGGCGGGCAUGCCUGUUCGAGCGUCAUUUCAACCAUCAAGCCCCAGCGCUUGUGUUGGGGGCCUGCGGCUGCCGCAGCCCCCUAAAAGCAGUGGCGGGCUCGCUAUCACACCGAGUGCAGUAGUUCAUCUUCUCUCCGGUCUUGUGAGGCGGGUUCCGGCCGUGAAACACCCCACUACAUUCAAGGUUGACCUCGGAUCAGGUAGGAAUACCCGCUGAACUUAAGCAUAUCAAUAAGCGGAGGA
rnacentral:misc_RNA from 1 species